ACUGAAAGCAUUAUCUACAGCUAGCUAGCGCUGCAGUGCAUAAAAUGUAGUGAGUAGUUGGCUCAAAGAGAGAGAAAUAAAAUAGUUAAAUAGUUUUGAACAAAUUAAUUUCUUCCUAAAUGAAGAAGCAAGAGAGAAAUAGAGUUUUUUUCACUUUCACUUAAAAAAAAAUCACUUUCACUUUCAUUUACUUAGCUAGCAAAUGCAGCUAGCUAGUUUAGCCUACUGAAACACCCUGCUCAAACAGAGGGAUGCUAUGUUAGCUAGCUAGCUAUUACUAUCCAAUACAACACUGGAUUUCUUCCAAGUCAAGGAUGAAAUCUCUUCAGAUGCACCAUCUCGUUUUCAAGAGGAUCCAAAUGAAAAAAAGAAAAAUAAACAAACAAGGCUACCUAUACAAAUAUGGUCGUGUUGGUUAAGCGCUUGUAAGUUAGCAUUUCACGGUAAGGUCUACACAUGUUAUAUUCGGCGCAUGUGACAAAUAAAGUAUGACUUGAUUUGAUUUGUAUUCCUUCAUUUUCAGAAUGUUCAUCUAAUUCUUCACUUUAUCCAUUUCAGAAGUUUCUGCAAUUUAUCAUUCUUUGCACAUUUGUAAUAAUAUACACACAUUGUUACGUUUCCUCUUUUUCGUCUUUUUUAUUUUUACAAUAUUUCUCCGCUGAGAUCGCCUAUUUUCAAUAGGUUCAAUGAAAGUUCUUACUUUAUCUACCUGCGGGCAGUGUCGCUAUUCUGGACUCCAGUAGGCUUGCUACUUGGCAGCUCCUGGAACACUGUGCCCGCUAGCAGCGCUUAGAAUAAGCAGUCUUCUACUAGGGGGAAACAAAUAACUGACGAUUUACAUAAUGAUAAUGAGUUUCAUUACUCACGCAACAUUCUUCC
rnacentral:lncRNA from 1 species